rnacentral:rRNA from 1 species
UACGUAGGGUGCGAGCGUUGUCCGGAAUUAUUGGGCGUAAAGGGCUCGUAGGCGGUUUGUCGCGUCGGGAGUGAAAACGCCGGGCUUAACUCGGUGCUUGCUUUCGAUACGGGCAGACUAGAGGUAUGCAGGGGAGAACGGAAUUCCUGGUGUAGCGGUGAAAUGCGCAGAUAUCAGGAGGAACACCGGUGGCGAAGGCGGUUCUCUGGGCAUGACCUGACGCUGAGGAGCGAAAGUGUGGGGAGCGAACAGG